rnacentral:rRNA from 1 species
UACGUAGGUGGCAAGCGUUGUCCGGAAUCACUGGGCGUAAAGGGCGCGUAGGCGGCGACUUAAGUCGGGGGUGAAAGCCUGUGGCUCAACCACAGAAUGGCCUUCGAUACUGGGUUGCUUGAGUGUGGUAGAGGUUGGUGGAACUGCGAGUGUAGAGGUGAAAUUCGUAGAUAUUCGCAAGAACACCGGUGGCGAAGGCGGCCAACUGGACCAUCACUGACGCUGAGGCGCGAAAGCGUGGGGAGCAAACAGG